GGGGGUGUUUUCUGGAUUCGACGGGGGAAGAAUUGGUCGGAUAAGCGAGCCGGGGACGUCAUCAGCCCGUAAAACUAUGGCAAUUGUCAUUCUUAAAUGGCAACAAAAAUUACGCUUUAGCAGCUUAAUGCUAACCUCGCCCACGGCCCAGCUUGCCGGCUGUGGCAAUGAGGCUAACCCCUGCAAGCUACUCCAAGCCAGAUGCCUUUAAGGCAAGGAGGAAAUUUUAAAGGCUGGCGGUUCGGCGCUUCGUUUGCUGUGCGGCGCACCGCAAGAUUGUAACGGCAGACUACGCUCGUAGAAAUUCCGGUGGAUUUUCUUUCGGACGCGGGUUCGAGUCCCGCCACCUCCACCA
rnacentral:tmRNA from 2 species